GCAAAUGAUUAUGGACCUCAAAAGGACAGUUCAUUUUCUGCUUCUGAGACAGAGAGAAAAGGAGGUGUUCAAAAUGAAGGUAGCAAGGGUAGCGGCAUUAAAGAUAAUUAUUGAUGAAAUUGAAGCUACUCUUGCAAAGCUUAAGAAGGAAUUGGGAUUGUAGCAAGGAACUCAUAAUGGAAUUUGUAAGUUAGAGGAAAGGGCC
rnacentral:misc_RNA from 1 species